GAAAAAGUAUGCAAGAACUGCUAAUUCAUGCCCCCAUGCAUAAAAACAUGGCUUUUUCA
rnacentral:tRNA from 1 species